CUCUGGGCUGGAGCGAGGCUUUCCUUAGAGAAGCCAGUCCCCUUCCCCUUGCCCCCGCACUGCUGUCCCCCUGGGCCACGCUGCCCCCACAGCCUCUGCCUGCUGUGUGGAGGCAACGAGGGGCGGCCUGCUGCUGGUGGAGGCCGGGGGAGCGGCUGCUCUGGCUAGGAGUGGGACAAUUAAUGUCCUCCGUCAGGGCGGCAAGUCUCCAGACUUUGAGAAACAUCCCGGGGUUGGGCCGUGCCUGCCUGUUCCUGCAGUGGCUGAAAUACAGCCUUAUCCUGAGGGAAAUGGCGGUGAGAGGCGGCUGCCGGCUGGGAAAGGGGGGAGGCCUUGUGGCUGCGGAGAGCAGGAGCUGCUGCCGGCUGCUGUGGUGCGAAACGAAGAAGCACUUGUGUCCUAACUUCUUCAGGAGCUUAAAAAGACCUUCCUCUUGCUUCAGAGAUAAGUCGUGCUUUUUAAAGCUCUGUGCUUGCCCUCUUAAACUAAUGUGA
rnacentral:lncRNA from 1 species